rnacentral:rRNA from 1 species
AUGACCUCAACUCAGGCAAGACUACCUGCUGAACUUAAGCAUAUCAGUAAGCAGAGGAAAAGAAAACAACUGUGAUUCCCUUAGUAACUGCGAGUGAAGCGGGAAAAGCCCAUCGUUUAAUCUUCCCGGACCAUGGACGGGACGAAAUGUAACGGUAUGGAUAGGUUCUCUACCAACUAUGUCUGAUCAAAGUCCUCCGGAUUGAGGUGCCAAAGRGGGUGACAGCCCCGUGUGUGAUUGGAUGGCGUUGGGUAUGUGACCGAUUCCGAGAGUCGGGUUGUUUGGGACUGCAACCUAAAGCAGGUGGUAAACUCCACCCAAGGCUAAAUAUUGACACGAAACCGAUAGCGAACAAGUACUGUGAAGGAAAGUUGAAAAGAACUCUGAAAAGAGAGUUAAAAGUACGUGAAACCGCUAACGGGGAAGCGGAAGGCAGUGUCGAGAUUGAGUGAGUGAGUUGGUUCAAGUGCGUUUGGUGUGUCGUGUUGGCGGUGUGUAAUGUGCGCUUGGAUCGGCUAGCUUUGCUUGAUGCGUCAGGACUAUUGGUGUGCGACGGUUCAAUCGUCAGCAUGGCUGUCACGGAACACUCAAAUGUUUCGUGGUUGCGGCUGGUGAUCCGCCUCGUGUGCUGAUAUGUAUGUGAUGGAGCGUUGGUGAUGUAUGGUCGGUYGGUGCUGUGCGGCGUUUCGUGCUGGUCACAUUGUGGCUACGUGCGGAAAAGUCGUGUGGUAGUUCAACAACCAGUGCUAGCUCCUGACGUGAUACCUAACUUUCCGACCCGUCUUGAAACACGGACCAAGGAGGCAGAAUCUAGAGCGAGUUGGAGGGUGCAAAACCCGACGGCGCAGUGAAAGCGAGAGAUGAGAUCCGGGGGUCUCGGCCCUCGGAGCAUCAUCGGCCAGUCACUCUGUGAUUGAGUUUGAGCUGUAGAUGCUGGACCCGAAAGAUGGUGAACUAUGCGUGAGCAGGGCGAAGCCAGAGGAAACUCUGGUGGAGGCUCGAAGCGAUUCUGACGUGCAAAUCGAUCGUUUGACUUGCGUAUAGGGGCGAUAGACUAAUCGAACCAUCUAGUAGCUGGUUCCCUUCGAAAUAUCCCUCAGGAUCGCUGAGACAAGUGGGAGACAGUUUCAUCGGGUAGAGCGAAUGAUUAGAGGAAUCGGGGAUAUAUUACUCUCGACCUAUUCUCAAACUUCCAACCGGUGAGAGUGCUGUUUACUUGAUUGAAACGGGCACGCGGAAUGUCUUUGUCUCAAGUGGGCCAUUUUUGGUAAGCAGAACUGGCGAUGCGGGAUGAACCGAGAGUUGAGCUAAGGUGCCUAACGACACGUUGAUAGAUACCACAAAAGGAGUCGGUCGAUAAAGACAGCAGGGCGGUGGCCCUGAAAGUAGGAAUCCGCUAAGGAAUUGUCUAAAAACUCACCUGCCGAAUCGACCGGCCCUGAAAAUGGAUGGCGCUGAAGCGUGUGACCGAUGCUCGACCUCUACCACGAGAGAUGUUGGUAGGGGGUAGAAGGGCGCGGCGGUAGCGACAAAGUACAAAGUGUAAACUUGUAUGGAGCUGCCGUCGGUGUAGAUCUUGGUGGUAGUAGCAAUUAUAAAAGUGAAAACCUUUUAGGCCGAAGUGGAGAAGGGUUCCACGUGAACAGCAGUUGGACGUGGGUUAGUCGGUCCUAAGCGGUUGCCUAACGGCUAGUGAAAAGCCAACUUAUGGUCGCACUUGUGUGGCUAAAUAUAAUAGGUUGGAAUCCGCGAAAGGGAAUCAGGUUAAUAUUCCUGAACCGGGCUAUGGAGACGCUGCCUUGUGCGUUAUUGCCAAUUCGUUGGUGGUGGCGUUGGGGUAGCUUAGCGGUAACGCAAACAAUCUCGGAGACGUUGACAUCUAUGGCGGGGAGAAUUAUCUUUUCUGCAUAACAGGUAAAUCACCUUGGAAUCGAGUCAUUCGGAGAUAAGGUAAAAAGCCUGGAAGAGCACCGCAACUAUUGCAGUGUCCGCAGUGUAGGUGUCGGCCCUUGAAAAUCCGAGGGAGUGGAUAAAUUUCAUGCCCGUCCGUACCGAAUCCGCAUCAGGUCUCCUAGGUGAGCAGCCUCUGGCACUGGAACAAUGUAGGUAAGGGAAGUCGGCAAAAUAGAUCCGUAACUUUGGGAAAAGGAUUGGCUCUAAGGGCCGGGCCAAUCGAGCUAGUAUUGCCUAGGCUAGUGGGGGCUUGACUGGGUUUGCUCGGGGGCAACUCUGAGUAGGCUUGGUCUUGCAAACGCUGGCCAUGGAAUGCCGGCGUGAAUUUCGGUCGGCUGAGCGGCCGCAAGGUUUGUUCAGUUGAUGGGGUUCUUUACGAGUGGCAAGCAUCGGUCAGCUUAGAACUGUUACCAACUUGGGGAAUCCGACUGUUUAAUUAAAACAAAGCAUUGCGAUGGCCGGAAACGGUGUUGACGCAAUGUGAUUU